rnacentral:rRNA from 1 species
UACGUAGGGCGCAAGCGUUGUCCGGAAUUAUUGGGCGUAAAGAGCUCGUAGGUGGCUUGUUGCGUCUGCCGUGAAAGCCCGUGGCUUAACUACGGGUCUGCGGUGGAUACGGGCAGGCUAGAGGCUGGUAGGGGCAAGCGGAAUUCCUGGUGUAGCGGUGAAAUGCGCAGAUAUCAGGAGGAACACCGGUGGCGAAGGCGGGUCUCUGGGCCGAUAUCGACGCUGAGGAGCGAAAGCGUGGGGAGCAAACAGG